CACACACACACACACACACACACACACACAUAUAUACAGGGCCGUCGGGAAGGCAGCAUUGCAGGGGAGGGGUGUACUGUUUCAAAUUUGCCGACAAAGGGCGUGGUCAUUUGGCGUUGGACAUUGGUGACUUUAUUAGUCACACAAUAACCCUAUGUUCUGUGAACCAUUUGUAAAGAGCGCCGACUAAUUAGCAGCAGAAAUUGUCAAAACUUACCAAUUUGCCGAGAAAAUGCAGGUUUAAGGUUUCAUUUGCCGACAGAUGCUUUUUUCUACAUACACAAGAAAAAGAAAGGAAAGACGUGGCUGUUGAAGAGGUGUGAAAUGAUAAAAAAAAACAUUCUUUAUGAAUGAAGGCGGCUGAAAACAAAAUAAAGAAAUGGCUGAUGAUAAAGGGGUGCGGCAAGAAGACAGAGAAGUGGGUAAUAAAGAGGUGUGAAGAGAAAAGAAAGAAAAAGGCUGAUGAAGAGGUGUGAAAAGAAGACAGAAGUCGCCGAUGAAGAAGUGUAAAGAGAAAAGAAAUGCAUUUUUUUUAUGAAAGAAGGGGAGUGAAAAGAAAAGAAAGAAAUGACAAAUGAUAAAGGGAGCAAACAGAAAAAUAAGAAAUUGAAGAUAAACGGGAUGCAAAAAGGAAAUAAAGAAAAGGCUGAUGAAGAGGUGUGAAGAGAGAGAAAAAAAAGGUGAGAAAUGUCUGAUAAAGAGUAAAGAAAGGAAAGACAUAUUUGAUGAAUGAAGGGGCGUGAAAAGAGAAGAAAAAGUGGCUGAUCAAAUGAUGUGAAUAAAAGACAUAUUUUAUGAAAAAAGAGGUAUGAAUAGAAGAGAAAUAUGUCUGAUGAUAAACGGGGAAGGAAGGAAGGAAAUGGCUGUUAAAGACGUGUGAAGGGAAAAGAAAUAAUUGGCUGAUAAAGAGGUGUGAAGGGAAAAGAAAGGAAGGGCUGAUAAAGAGGUGUGAAGGGAAAAGAAAGAAAUGGCUGAUAAAGAGGUGUGAAAGGAAAAGAAAGAAAUGACUGAUAAAGAGGUGUGACGGGAAAAGAAAAGCGUGUUUGAUAAAUGAAGGGACGUGAAAAUAGAAGAAAAUGGUAGCUGAUAAAGAAAUGUGAAAAAAAAAGAAAAAAAGUGUGUGAAAGAAGAGAUAAAAAAGUGAGAAAAUAAAAGGAAGACAUGCCUGAUAAAUAAAGGGGCGUGGAAAUAAAAUAAAAGAAAAAAGUGUUUGAUAAAAAAUAGUGCGAGGAGAAAAGAAAAGAGUGGCUGAUGAUAAAGGGGAAUUAAAAGAAAUAAAGAAAGGUCCGAAGAAAAAGAGUGUGAAGAGAAUAGAAAGAAGUGUCUGAUAAUAAACGAGGUGCGAAAAGGAUAGAAAGAAUUGGCUGAUAAAAAAGUAUAAUAAGAAAAAACAACAUCACUUUUAUGAUUAAGAAGUAUGAGAAGAAAAGAGAGAAAUGACUGAUGAUAAACUGGGUGCGAAAAGAAAAGAAAGAAAUUGGUGAUAAAUGAAGGGACGUGAAAAGAGAAGAAUAAAAGUGGGUGAAAAGAAGAGAAAGAAGCGGCUGAUUAAAGAGUGUGGAAAGAAAAAUAAGAAGUGAAAGAUAAAGGGAUGGGAAGAGAAAAUAAAGAAAUGCUUGAUGAUAAAGGGGUUCGAAAAGAAAGAAAAGAAAGAAAAGAAAAGAAAAGAAAAGAAACGAAAAGAAAAAAACAACAACGAAAAGUGGCUGAUUGUGGGGUGUGGAAAGGGAAGAAUGAAGUGUAUGAUAAAGAAUGUGAAUGAAGAAGUGUAUGAUAAAAGAAAAGAGAUAACUGGCUGAUAAAGAAGUGUGGGGAGAGAAGAGAGAAGUGGCCAAUAAAGAAGUGUAAACAGAAAACAAAGAAAUAUCUGAUAAAGAGGCGCGAAGAGAGAGAGAAAAAAUGUGACUAAUGAUAAAAGGCAACGAAGGGAAAUAAAGAAAUAUCUGAUAAACGUAAGUAAAGAGAAAAGGAAGAAGUGGUUGAUAAAAAGACCCGAAGAGAAAAGAAAAAGAAAAUGGUUGAUGAUAAAAGGGGAAUGAGAAGAGAAGAAAAGAUGGGAAAGGAAGAUAAAGGGAAGAAGUGUGCUGAUAAAGAGUGUGAAAAGGGAAUAUAAAAAGGAAAUAUAUAAGUGUUUGAUAAAGAGAUUUGAAAAGAAAAGAAAAAGUGGCUGAGGAUAUAGAAGAAAGAGGACGAUGAAUGAAUGAGUGAUAAUUGAAAGAAGAAAAUAUUUUGAAAAGAAAAGAAAGGAAAGUCUUAUUAAAAAGUGCUGUUUAAUGAAAUAAAGUGCUACGAGUGGCGAAAAGUGGAAUUAGACGGAAAAAGUACUCGGCGCCGCGGCCUCGGGAGCGGAGGGUCGUCUCAGCCACCUUCCCCAAGUAGGCGUGGCGUGCGUGGGUCGUGACGUCAUAUUGAAUUACCGCGAGGCCCGUGAGAGGCGGCGACGGCCAAACAGGAUUUAUUUAUCUUUUGAUUGAUUUUUUUGUUCUUGUUGUUCGUGUAGUUUGUUCGUUUUGUUCUUGGGUUUGGAUGUUUGGGUUAAGAUUUUUGUAUGUUUUUUUAUUUUUGCUUUUAAUUUAUUUUUCUUUAUUCUGUAUUAUCAU